AACGAACGCUGGUGGCAGGCUUAACACAUGCAAGUCGAACGCCCCGCAAGGGGAGUGGCAGACGGGUGAGUAACGCGUGGGAAUCUACCUAGUUCUACGGAACAACAGUUGGAAACGACUGCUAAUACCGUAUACGCCCUACGGGGAAAGAUUUAUCGGAAUUAGAUGAGCCCGCGUAAGAUUAGCUAGUUGGUGAGGUA
rnacentral:rRNA from 1 species